UACGUAGGCAGCGAGCGUUGUUCGGAGUUACUGGGCGUAAAGAGUGCGUAGGCGGCUUUCUAAGUUUGGUGUGAAAUCUCCCGGCUUAACUGGGAGGGUGCGCCGAAGACUGGAAGGCUUGAGUAUGGGAGAGGUAAGCGGAAUUCCUGGUGUAGCGGUGAAAUGCGUAGAUAUCUGGAGGAAUACCGGUGGCGAAGGCGGCAUCCUGGACCGGCAUUGACGCUGAGGAGCGAAAGCCAGGGGAGCAAACGGG
rnacentral:rRNA from 1 species